rnacentral:rRNA from 1 species
GAUUAAGUUAUUAAGGGCGCACGGUGGAUGCCUUGGCACUAGAAGCCGAUGAAGGACGUUACUAACGACGAUAUGCUUUGGGGAGCUGUAAGUAAGCUUUGAUCCAGAGAUUUCCGAAUGGGGAAACCCAGCAUGAGUUAUGUCAUGUUAUCGAUAUGUGAAUACAUAGCAUAUCAGAAGGCACACCCGGAGAACUGAAACAUCUUAGUACCCGGAGGAAGAGAAAGAAAAUUCGAUUCCCUUAGUAGCGGCGAGCGAAACGGGAAGAGCCCAAACCAACAAGCUUGCUUGUUGGGGUUGUAGGACACUCUAUACGGAGUUACAAAGGACGACAUUAGACGAAUCAUCUGGAAAGAUGAAUCAAAGAAGGUAAUAAUCCUGUAGUCGAAAAUGUUGUCUCUCUUGAGUGGAUCCUGAGUACGACGGAGCACGUGAAAUUCCGUCGGAAUCUGGGAGGACCAUCUCCUAAGGCUAAAUACUCUCUAGUGACCGAUAGUGAACCAGUACCGUGAGGGAAAGGUGAAAAGCACCCCGGAAGGGGAGUGAAAUAGAACCUGAAACCGUGUGCUUACAAGUAGUCAGAGCCCGUUAAUGGGUGAUGGCGUGCCUUUUGUAGAAUGAACCGGCGAGUUACGAUUUGAUGCAAGGUUAAGCAGUAAAUGUGGAGCCGUAGCGAAAGCGAGUCUGAAUAGGGCGUUUAGUAUUUGGUCGUAGACCCGAAACCAGGUGAUCUACCCUUGGUCAGGUUGAAGUUCAGGUAACACUGAAUGGAGGACCGAACCGACUUACGUUGAAAAGUGAGCGGAUGAACUGAGGGUAGCGGAGAAAUUCCAAUCGAACCUGGAGAUAGCUGGUUCUCUCCGAAAUAGCUUUAGGGCUAGCCUCAAGUGAUGAUUAUUGGAGGUAGAGCACUGUUUGGACGAGGGGCCCCUCUCGGGUUACCGAAUUCAGACAAACUCCGAAUGCCAAUUAAUUUAACUUGGGAGUCAGAACAUGGGUGAUAAGGUCCGUGUUCGAAAGGGAAACAGCCCAGACCACCAGCUAAGGUCCCAAAAUAUAUGUUAAGUGGAAAAGGAUGUGGCGUUGCCCAGACAACUAGGAUGUUGGCUUAGAAGCAGCCAUCAUUUAAAGAGUGCGUAAUAGCUCACUAGUCGAGUGACACUGCGCCGAAAAUGUACCGGGGCUAAACAUGUUACCGAAGCUGUGGAUUGUCCUUUGGACAAUGGUAGGAGAGCGUUCUAAGGGCGUUGAAGCAUGAUCGUAAGGACAUGUGGAGCGCUUAGAAGUGAGAAUGCCGGUGUGAGUAGCGAAAGACGGGUGAGAAUCCCGUCCACCGAUUGACUAAGGUUUCCAGAGGAAGGCUCGUCCGCUCUGGGUUAGUCGGGUCCUAAGCUGAGGCCGACAGGCGUAGGCGAUGGAUAACAGGUUGAUAUUCCUGUACCACCUAUAAUCGUUUUAAUCGAUGGGGGGACGCAGUAGGAUAGGCGAAGCGUGCGAUUGGAUUGCACGUCUAAGCAGUAAGGCUGAGUAUUAGGCAAAUCCGGUACUCGUUAAGGCUGAGCUGUGAUGGGGAGAAGACAUUGUGUCUUCGAGUCGUUGAUUUCACACUGCCGAGAAAAGCCUCUAGAUAGAAAAUAGGUGCCCGUACCGCAAACCGACACAGGUAGUCAAGAUGAGAAUUCUAAGGUGAGCGAGCGAACUCUCGUUAAGGAACUCGGCAAAAUGACCCCGUAACUUCGGGAGAAGGGGUGCUCUUUAGGGUUAACGCCCAGAAGAGCCGCAGUGAAUAGGCCCAAGCGACUGUUUAUCAAAAACACAGGUCUCUGCUAAACCGUAAGGUGAUGUAUAGGGGCUGACGCCUGCCCGGUGCUGGAAGGUUAAGAGGAGUGGUUAGCUUCUGCGAAGCUACGAAUCGAAGCCCCAGUAAACGGCGGCCGUAACUAUAACGGUCCUAAGGUAGCGAAAUUCCUUGUCGGGUAAGUUCCGACCCGCACGAAAGGCGUAACGAUUUGGGCACUGUCUCAACGAGAGACUCGGUGAAAUCAUAGUACCUGUGAAGAUGCAGGUUACCCGCGACAGGACGGAAAGACCCCGUGGAGCUUUACUGUAGCCUGAUAUUGAAAUUCGGCACAGCUUGUACAGGAUAGGUAGGAGCCUUUGAAACGUGAGCGCUAGCUUACGUGGAGGCGCUGGUGGGAUACUACCCUAGCUGUGUUGGCUUUCUAACCCGCACCACUUAUCGUGGUGGGAGACAGUGUCAGGCGGGCAGUUUGACUGGGGCGGUCGCCUCCUAAAAGGUAACGGAGGCGCUCAAAGGUUCCCUCAGAAUGGUUGGAAAUCAUUCAUAGAGUGUAAAGGCAUAAGGGAGCUUGACUGCGAGACCUACAAGUCGAGCAGGGUCGAAAGACGGACUUAGUGAUCCGGUGGUUCCGCAUGGAAGGGCCAUCGCUCAACGGAUAAAAGCUACCCCGGGGAUAACAGGCUUAUCUCCCCCAAGAGUUCACAUCGACGGGGAGGUUUGGCACCUCGAUGUCGGCUCAUCGCAUCCUGGGGCUGUAGUCGGUCCCAAGGGUUGGGCUGUUCGCCCAUUAAAGCGGUACGCGAGCUGGGUUCAGAACGUCGUGAGACAGUUCGGUCCCUAUCCGUCGUGGGCGUAGGAAAUUUGAGAGGAGCUGUCCUUAGUACGAGAGGACCGGGAUGGACAUACCUCUGGUGUACCAGUUGUCGUGCCAACGGCAUAGCUGGGUAGCUAUGUGUGGACGGGAUAAGUGCUGAAAGCAUCUAAGCAUGAAGCCCCCCUCAAGAUGAGAUUUCCCAACUUCGGUUAUAAGAUCCCUCAAAGAUGAUGAGGUUAAUAGGUUCGAGGUGGAAGCAUGGUGACAUGUGGAGCUGACGAAUACUAAUCGAUCGAAGACUUAAUCAA